AUUGAACGCUGGCGGCAGGCUUAACACAUGCAAGUCGAGCGGGGGAAGGUAGCUUGCUACCGGACCUAGCGGCGGACGGGUGAGUAAUGCUUAGGAAUCUGCCUAUUAGUGGGGGACAACAUCUCGAAAGGGAUGCUAAUACCGCAUACGUCCUUCGGGAGAAAGCAGGGGAUCUUCGGACCUUGCGCUAAUAGAUGAGCCUAAGUCGGAUUAGCUAGUGGGUGGGGUAAAGGCCUACCAAGGCGACGAUCUGUAGCGGGUCUGAGAGGAUGAUCCGCCACACUGGGACUGAGACACGGCCCAGACUCCUACGGGAGGCAGCAGUGGGGAAUAUUGGACAAUGGGGGGAACCCUGAUCCAGCCAUGCCGCGUGUGUGAAGAAGGCCUUAUGGUUGUAAAGCACUUUAAGCGAGGAGGAGGCUACUUUAGUUAAUACCUAGAGAUAGUGGACGUUACUCGCAGAAUAAGCACCGGCUAACUCUGUGCCAGCCGCCGCCGUAA
rnacentral:rRNA from 1 species